rnacentral:rRNA from 1 species
CCUUGACAUGCUGAGAACUUUCCAGAGAUGGAUUGGUGCCUUCGGGAACUCAGACACAGGUGCUGCAUGGCUGUCGUCAGCUCGUGUCGUGAGAUUGUUGGGUUAAGUCCCGUAACGAGCGCAACCCUUGUCCUUAGUUACCAGCACGUUAUGGUGGGCACUCUAAGGAGACUGCCGGUGACAAACCGGAGGAAGGUGGGGAUGACGUCAAGUCAUCAUGGCCCUUACGGCCAGGGCUACACACGUGCUACAAUGGUCGGUACAAAGGGUUGCCAAGCCGCGAGGUGGAGCUAAUCCCAUAAAACCGAUCGUAGUCCGGAUCGCAGUCUGCAACUCGACUGCGUGAAGUCGGAAUCGCUAGUAAUCGUGAAUCAGAACGUCACGGUGAAUACGUUCCCGGGCCUUGUACACACCGCCCGUCACACCAUGGGAGUGGGUUGCUCCAGAAGUAGCUAGUCUAACCCUCGGGAGGACGGUUACCACGGAGUGAUUCAUGACUGGGGUGAAGUCGUAACAAGGUAAGCGUAGUGCU